rnacentral:misc_RNA from 1 species
AAGUCGUAACAAGGUUUCCGUAGGUGAACCUGCGGAAGGAUCAUUAACACGUAUCCAAACGUUAAACCCCCCUGUGAACCUUCAGUGUACUCGUACGUCCGUUAGAAAAAGCAGUCCCUGAAAUCAUCGCCGAACAGUUUUCGAUUCAGGGACGUCUGCAAGCAAGUGGCCUGGCAUCCCCAAGCAGUUAGUGUCUGAAAGUGUCAACGAUAAGCCCCCCUAUAACAAACGCUGCCAAUCGUGGCCGCGAUAAUACGCUGUCGACAAAAAACCGAACAACUGUUAACAAUGGAUAUCUUGGUUCUC